AACCCAUGGUGUGGACACUUCCUCAUUAACUCCUUGUAUCUCUCCCAAGCCUCAUACAAUGACUCGGAAUCAUCUUGUAGAAAUGAUGUGAUAUCAUUUCUCAAUGUU